rnacentral:rRNA from 1 species
UACGGAGGGAGCUAGCGUUGUUCGGAAUUACUGGGCGUAAAGCGCACGUAGGCGGCUUUUUAAGUCAGGGGUGAAAUCCCGGGGCUCAACCCCGGAACUGCCCUUGAAACUGGAGAGCUAGAAUCUUGGAGAGGCGAGUGGAAUUCCGAGUGUAGAGGUGAAAUUCGUAGAUAUUCGGAGGAACACCAGUGGCGAAGGCGGCUCACUGGUCCAUUACUGACGCUGAGGUGCGAAAGCGUGGGGAGCAAACAGG